UACAGGGGGUGCAAACGUUGCUCGGAAUCAUUGGGCGUAAAGCGCACGUAGGCGGUUUGUCGCGUCUGCCGUGAAAGUCCGGGGCUCAACUCCGGAUCUGCGGUGGGUACGGGCAGACUAGAGUGAUGUAGGGGAGACUGGAAUUCCUGGUGUAGCGGUGAAAUGCGCAGAUAUCAGGAGGAACACCGAUGGCGAAGGCAGGUCUCUGGGCAUUAACUGACGCUGAGGAGCGAAAGCAUGGGGAGCGAACAGG
rnacentral:rRNA from 1 species